rnacentral:lncRNA from 1 species
GAACUCUAAUUCAUAUGAGAACUUUAGCUAAACCUAAGAAAAUCCAUUUUGUAAGAAUAAGAUACCAACCUUCAAUAGUACACUUUCUUUGAUGUCGUAAGGAAAAGGUAGGCCCCAACUGUAGGCUGUAGACUAUAUCGGUACGUUGAGUCUCUUUCUAUAAAUAUACCCUAUCCCGCCUUGGUCUUCAAUUAUUUUUUUAUUUUGCUUCUGAAGCAUUGCAUGAGUAAAUUUCAGAUCAGACAAUUUUAUUUCGUUAAUUAGAUUUCAAAAAAUAUUUAAAUGAGAAACGAUGAGCUAGUUGUAUAGUUCACCAUUUUUAUAUAUUGUUUACCA